CGCCUGCGCACGGGAACCGGCCUGCAGCGUGGUGCCGCAGCGGCGGGAGCGGGAGCCCCGAGGGGUGCGGGGGCGGGCGCAUCCCGGUGCCCGCUGCAGGAGGACACGGCCUCAGGGGCCCGGCUCCUCUUCAGCAGAUGGAAGAGCUCACAGGACCGGGGCUGCCUGUCUUGUUGCGGGACUGAGAAUAAAAGGCGGUCACUCUGCAGAACUACUGCCUGAACUUUACUGUAUCAGAGCUGGACACCAGGGUUCAUGCAGGAGCACUUGUAGAGAUGGGGUCUCGCUCUUGCUCAGGCUGGCCUC